rnacentral:rRNA from 1 species
UACAGAGGGUGCAAGCGUUAAUCGGAAUUACCGGGCGUAAAGCGUGCGUAGACGGUUGCGUAAGUCAGAUGUGAAAGCCCCGGGCUCAACCUGGGAAUUGCAUUUGAGACUGCGUAGCUAGGGUGCGGAAGAGGGAAGCGGAAUUUCCGGUGUAGCGGUGAAAUGCGUAGAUAUCGGAAGGAACACCAGUGGCGAAAGCGGCUUCCUGGUCCAGCACCGACGUUCAGGCACGAAAGCGUGGGGAGCAAACAGG